UGGGGAAUAUUGCACAAUGGGCGCAAGCCUGAUGCAGCCAUGCCGCGUGUGUGAAGAAGGCCUUCGGGUUGUAAAGCACUUUCAGCGAGGAGGAAGGUGGUGAGCUUAAUACGCUCAUCAAUUGACGUUACUCGCAGAAGAAGCACCGGCUAACUCCGUGCCAGCAGCCGCGGUAAUACGGAGGGUGCAAGCGUUAAUCGGAAUUACUGGGCGUAAAGCGCACGCAGGCGGUUUGUUAAGUCAGAUGUGAAAUCCCCGGGCUCAACCUGGGAACUGCAUUUGAAACUGGCAAGCUAGAGUCUCGUAGAGGGGGGUAGAAUUCCAGGUGUAGCGGUGAAAUGCGUAGAGAUCUGGAGGAAUACCGGUGGCGAAGGCGGCCCCCUGGACGAAGACUGACGCUCAGGUGCGAAAGCGUGGGGAGCAAAACAGGAUUAGAUACCCUGGUAGUCCACGCUGUAAAACGAUGUCGAUUUUGGAGGUUGUGCCCUUGAGGUGUGGCUUCCGGAGCUAACGCGUUAAAUCGACCG
rnacentral:rRNA from 1 species